rnacentral:lncRNA from 1 species
AGGAAUUGAACCAACUACUUGGCAUUUUUGGAAAUGCUUGUGAAAGAGAGGGUCAUCCUCUUUAUCAUCAUAUCUAUGUCAGUUAAUAUUUGAUUGCCGGUAAAUGCUCACAUAUGUAAGCUAAUGAAUAAGAAGCUACCCCCCUCUACCUCCAUCUUCCCAUCUUAUUACCCUUUUUCUCCUUCCUGCUAUUACACAAUCUGCUGGAUUCUCAAUGUAGAUGACAUAAAGCAAGUUCAAGCCACCCUUUACUGUAUUGGUUAAGGUGGAUGACCCAAAGAAAAGGUCUAGUUGAUGGCUUUGGUAGGUCAGGUGACCAUGUGGAAUCAUUAUAAGAAAAAAUUAAAAAUUUGCCCUGAUUCAUAGAUUGUCCCAAUCCACAGCACAUGGGGCUAGAAUUAUAUAAUGAUAUAUCUGCAAUGGGUCAUCCAAAGAAUUGAGAUACAAAACCUGGCAAGGGCUGUAGUUAGGGGUCCUGUUUCUUUGUUCCCUAAUAACCUAACCAUGAGCCAGUAUAAAGAAUUGGAUAAUCCAGUAUUAUAUUCAGUCAGAAGCGCAUGGAUAUUUGGUGUAGAAGCGUAUCAAAAUGAAACUCACCAAUAAAGUUUAUUUUCCUCUGCUGCAAUAUAAGGGUUUUCUAACAAUGGGAAUGCAAAAUUUUUUUGUCUGUCUUGAAGGUUUCUAGUGGAAAGAGCAGCUGAACAGUACAGAGGGAGGAAUAAAUAAAUACAUCACAGAUGGCCAUCCAGCAUUUGCAUUAUGUGCAUAAUACCCAAGGUUUUUUAUAUGACUCUUCAGAUUUUUACUUAAGCAAUUAAUACAACAUUUUGCCUCUUCACGAGAUAUAUCAAUUGCCUAAAGGGGAUUUAAAGACUCCAACUUUGGACCAGAUACCCUAUUUUACCUCUGCAAGGACUUGUACAGCACAACUGUCACAUACUUGGCUCGAAACCUAUUUGUUGAACCAAGUGCCACCACUGACGGGCCGCUCUUGCCUUUCUGCAUGUAAAGAUGGUUAAGCACUACAUGUUGAGGUCUUGGCAUUGGAGGUGGAAUCUCCACCGCAGAUGAAGGCACAUUGAGCAGUGUCAUUUGCAGGUGUGGAGGAACCAGGGGUGGCUCCUUUGCAAAAUCCUCAGAACCAAGUUCCAAGUUGUUAUAGCUCGAGUCUGGGGACUGUGGGGGUUCAAAACCAGAAAUGCUUUCAAGGUCUUCAGGAACAUAAUCCUGCACAUUACAGUGGGUAAACACCAUAUGUUUCAGUCAGACAUUCCUGAUGGCAGCCAAACCUACUUACAAUGUGUUUUGCAGUAGAUUAACCAUGUCCAACUGGCAAAACCCUAAUUAAAAGGAAAUCAGAACCUAGAUGGCCAUGACAGGAGGGGAAAAAAAGGAACCAGAAAUGUAAGUCAGUCUGCAUCUGCCUGUGUGUGAUACAUCAAGAACUCUAUUAACAACUAUAUUUUAAAAUAGGGUUGAAGCCGGGAAAGUACCAAAAAAGAAUAGUAUAGUACCUGAGAAAAAAAUUUAAAAAAAAAAAAAACCAGCCCCCAAGCAGGCUCAGUAGAAAAGAUCCACCAACAGUUCGGCUGCUCAUUCGUCACACAACCGCAAUACCCUUUUCCAGUGAGGAACCACAAAUACUUCAACCUCUUUUCCUCACCCCCCUUCUUUGUGCCAACUACUGGUCUUGGCAGGGAAAACACCAGUCCAUGUGGUUUUGUUCAAAAAUUCAGAAUGAACUGUUGAAAAUUGGGUAAAAAUUUGAACCUAGUUCAAUCUGAGAUUCUGAUUCUCUUAAUAUUCAGGUUAAAUUUUCAGUAUUCUUUGUCUGUGGGUUUCAGAGACUAAUAUAACCAUGGUUGUUUUAGGAGGUGCUUUAAGCGCAUCUAGGCUCAAGGCAAAACCAGUCCCUAGCUAUAGCCUCACCUACCAACGCACACAUUGUUGGAAAGGCCGGCCUCAUUGUUUUUCCUUUCUAAUUUUUAUUUUUGGAAUUUCUGACAGUAAAUUGUUACUUUAUAUAAUUUCAUUAAUUUUUUGUUGGGAUGAUUCUUUCAAAUGCUUAGAAUCUUGAAAUUUUGNNNNNNNNNNNNNNNNNNNNNNNNNNNNNNNNNNNNNNNNNNNNNNNNNNNNNNNNNNNNNNNNNNNNNNNNNNNNNNNNNNNNNNNNNNNNNNNNNNNNAAUAGGGUAUGUCCUACCAGGAAAGCCCAUUGCCAACCUGCUUUUCAAGAUUUAUGGGCGAAUCAGCACUGUUCAUGCCCUGUCUUUCUUGUCUGAUCUUAAACUUGGGCACUACAUGAAGAUUCCGCCCCGGUGCAUGUACACAGCUCAGGUCUCUGAAGCUCCUAGAACUAAUACAUUAAACCAAUUAUAACUUUUGUACUAACAUUUCAGUAUCAUCUUUUUGUUGGAUUUCCAGCUGGUGGGGACACUGGUUGCUGGUACUGUCAACCUUGCGGUUGCCUGGUGGAUGUUGGGGAGUAUUGAGAACAUCUGUGACGUCGAAACUCUCCAUCCUGACAGCCCCUGGACAUGUCCUAAAUUCCGGGUGACGUUUGAUGCUUCUGUUAUAUGGGGUCUGAUAGGACCACGGAGGCUGUUUGGACCUGGAGGGCUUUACAGGAACCUGGUAUGGCUGUUCCUCAUUGGAGCUGUCUUGCCAGUCCCAGUCUGGGUGAUGAGCAAAAUCUUCCCGGAAAAGAAAUGGAUUCCUUUGAUAAACAUACCGGUUAUAUCUUAUGGCUUUGCUGGUAUGCCACCGGCAACUCCCACCAACAUAGCUAGCUGGCUCAUCACCGGAGCCAUCUUCAACUACUUUGUGUUCCGGUACCACAAGAGAUGGUGGCAGAAAUACAACUAUGUUCUGUCUGCAGCAUUGGAUGCUGGGACUGCAUUCAUGGGAGUUCUUUUGUUCUUUGCUCUGCAGAAUGAGAAUCAUAAUUUGAAGUGGUGGGGAACAAAAUUGGAUCACUGCCCUUUGGCAACAUGCCCAACUCAACCAGGUAUCGUUGUUGAAGGGUGUCCGGUUUUCCAGUAACCAUGUAGCGCCAAAGAUUUGGAUACAAUGUAGAAGAAGGAUGCUAGGGCUGGUAAUAAAAGGAAUUGAACCAACCACUUGGCAUUUUUGGAAAUGCUUGUGAAAGAGAGGGUCAUCCUCUUUAUCAUCAUAUCUAUGUCAGUUAAUAUUUGAUUGCUGGUAAAUGCUCAUAUGUAAGCUAGUGAAUAAGAAGCUACCACCCUCUACCUCCAUCUUCCCAUCUUAUUACCCUUUUUCUCCUUUCUGCUAUUACACAAUCUGCUGGAUUCUCAAUGUAGAUGACAUAAAGCAAGUUCAAGCCACCCUUUACUGUAUUGGUUAAGGUGGAUGACCCAAAGAAAAGGUCUAGUUGAUGGCUUUGGUAGGUCAGGUGACCAUGUGGAAUCAUUAUAAGAAAAAAUUAAAAAUUUGCCCUGAUUCAUAGAUUGUCCCAAUCCACAGCACAUGGGGCUAGAAUUAUAUAAUGAUAUAUCUGCAAUGGGUCAUCCAAAGAAUUGAGAUACAAAAC